rnacentral:rRNA from 1 species
UACGUAGGGUGCAAGCGUUGUCCGGAAUUAUUGGGCGUAAAGAGCUCGUAGGCGGUCUGUCGCGUCGGCUGUGAAAUCCCGGAGCUCAACUCCGGGUCUGCAGUCGAUACGGGCAAACUGGAGUACUGCAGGGGAGACUGGAAUUCCUGGUGUAGCGGUGAAAUGCGCAGAUAUCAGGAGGAACACCGGUGGCGAAGGCGGGUCUCUGGGCAGUAACUGACGCUCAGGUGCGAAAGCCAGGGGAGCGAACGGG